CUUUAUCUGAGCCUGGAGCACGGCAGCAUACCUGGGUAUUGUAGUCAGAACAGCAAGGUCAGCAAAAUGGGAAGGACGGACUGCAGACAGCUCCCAGGGGACGCUGCUGCUGCUGCUGCUGCGGGCUGUGCGCAGAACAUGCUUUGAGUGUCAAGGGCAUAACUCUUCUGGGCUUUGGUGGCCUCACGAGUAAAAUGGGGACAUCGGUACCUUCCUCAUAGGAUCGUUGGGAGAAUUAAAUAAGAAUGGAAAGAACUUAGAAGAGCACCUGCCACAGGACUGGCCCUGAGCUAACAUCCAUGCCCAUCUUCCUCUUCUUUAUACGUGGGACGCCUACCACAGCAUGGUUUUUGCCAAGCGGUACCAUGUCUGCACCCAGCAAACCGCCGGGGCCGCCAAGAAGUGGAAUGUGCGAACUUAACCGCUGUGCCACCGGGCCGCCCUGAACACUUUUUAAUGUUUAGGGGCCAUAUGAGUAUUUCGGGUGUGUGUGUAAAUUGCCUGUUUA
rnacentral:lncRNA from 1 species